GAUGAAGAACGUAGCAAAAUGCGAUACUUGGUGUGAAUUGCAGAAUCCCGUGAACCAUCGAGUUUUUGAACGCAAGUUGCGCCCGAAGCCUUUUGGCCGAGGGCACGCCUGCCUGGGCGUCACACGUCGUUGCCCCCCCAUCUACUCCUUCGGGAUUGCGGGGGGCGGAUGAUGGCCUCCCGUGCGCCUCGUCGCGCGGUUGGCAUAAAUGCCAAGUCCUCGGCGACGCACGCCACGACAAUCGGUGGUUGCGAAACCUCGGUUGCCCGUCGUGUGCGGUCGUCGCGCAUCGAGGGCUCGAAAAAAUUGCCGGGCUCCGGCUCGGCUUUCAACGCGACCCCAGGUCAGGCGGGGUUACCCGCUGAAUUUAAGCAUAUCAAUAAGCGGAGGA
rnacentral:misc_RNA from 1 species